UUUCGGGUCGGAAAACUAACGAAAAAGCGCCCCGCAGCCCUCUCCUUCCACCUCUUUCCGACUUCCAGGGAAACUACAAGACUUUGCCCGAGAGGAAGGGGGUGUGGGGAGGCUCCCUUCAGAAGCAAAAAGUCCCGGCAAACAGCGAGGGCACAAAAGGGUCCCUCGCGCGGCGCUCCGCACCCCCUCUCGGUUCCCCGGGCGGGUCCCGUGGCGAGGGGUGGGCUAGAAAGUGUGAAAAGCCCCGCCGGCGCCGGAAAGCGCGUCCGGGGGCCUCUGCGAGGCCGCCCGGCUCUUCGGGAGCUCCGAGGGGCCCUGCGGGCCUCGCGGCGGACAGCGAGGGCGAGUCCCGAGGUCCGAGAGCGCCGCGACCCGCCUUGGCCCCUGAGGGGCCCCGCCGGGAGGACUCGGGCCAGACCCGGAGAAGCCGCUGACCACCCCGCCCUGGUCGUCGUCCACGUCCGCUCGGCCCGCGCGGCCCCGCGCUGGACGUGCCCGCCCCGGGCACCCAGCCCCUUCCGUCCGCCCCCGCCCCGGGAAGUCCCCGGCCCCGAGCCCAGCCGCCGCCCGGGGAGGUGUGGGCGAGCGCGCUGGAAGGAAACCGCGGCGGCCCGGCCCCUGGACGUGUCCGGGAAGGAACGCGGACUUUCUCUCAUUCCACAAGUCUUCCUUGUGUACACCCAGGGAGUCAGGCUUCACCGGUGACAAAGGGAAGACCCCGCUUGCUCCCUCGUUCAGCCUCACUCCAUUCAUCAGGAAGUGAUCCCACGGGGCAAGCUUUGCCCUAUUCCAGUUUGUUUUUUGGUUCACAGUCAACCCCUGUGAGCGAUUAAUGCACCUUUGAGAAGUGGAGCUAAAAUUCAGCGUGGUCCUAAUCUUUUGGAAGACACAGGAACAGAUGAAAGUAUUUGGUUCUGGGAAUGGAAAUUACAGAUGGAUAGAAUCCCAUCACAAUGAGCUUCGCUGGCAUUUUCUGUUGAGCAAUUAGCUUUGUCCGAGAAGAGGCUUCCUGCCAUGUCCAGAAGGAAAUGCAUAAGGCAAGCUUCAUAGCCGAGAAUGAUUGAAAACAGGAGAAAGCAUUGCUGUCAAAGAUUAUACAGUACAAUGAAGUUGUACAGUGGGGCUCAAGAAUAUAAAUGUUAGCAGCAAACUUCUGGCCACUUGAUAAUGAGAAAAACUAGUGUUUGAAUGUGGAUAUCACCACCAAUGUUCCACUUCAAUACUGACUGUAAUACUUGAAUGACUCAAUGCAUUGAAACUCUUUUUUGAUGAAAGUUUUAAAUGUAUAUUUCCAUUUAAUAAAUAUUUGUUUGAGAA
ensembl:lncRNA